GGGGAGCAGGACAUAGAACACUGAGUUUCAACUUGUCAAAACAACUGACCAACACUCCAGACUUGACCACACACUAUAGAUUAAAGAGCAAGCUAGAUGCUGAACCACUGAGAUUUUCAAACUGGGUGCCAGUUUGGAUAGUGUAGGAGCAGAGUUUGAUGGACUGGAAGUCGCCAAGGAACUUGCUGGCCCGCCCAUUGCAUCUCCAUUCAGGUUGGCUGCAUUAACAUUCGGUGGAGUAAUCGCUGCAGCCGCAGAGGAUGGUUUUACCUGGGUUGGAGCGCUAGAUGACAAAGGUGGAACUUCUCCAAUCUUGGCAAUAGCUCUGGGAUCACUCGAACUGAUGAGGACUGGUGCACUGAUUUCCAUGGAGUGCCUGUUGUUGACAGC